GACGAACGCUGGCGGCGUGCUUAACACAUGCAAGUCGAACGGAAAGGCCCUGCUUUCGUGGGGUUCUCGAGUGGCGAACGGGUGAGUAACACGUGAGUAACCUGCCCUUGACUUUGGGAUAACUUCAGGAAACUGGGGCUACUACCGGAUAGGAGCUCCCGCUGCAUGGUGGGGGUUGGAACGUUUCGGCUGGUGCGGAUGGGCUGGCGGCUUACCAGCUUGUUUGUUGGGUAGCUGCUUACCAAGCCUUUGAAGGAUAGCCGACAUGAGAGGGUGACCGGCCUCCUUGGGACUGAGAUACGGCGCAGUCUCCUACGGGGGGCAGUAGUGGGGAAUCUUGCACAAUGAGCGGGAGCCUGAUGAAGAGACGCCGCGUGCGGGAAGCCGUCCUUCGGGUUGUGAACCGCUUUCGCCUGUGACCACGCGUGAGUGACGGUAAUGAAUAAAGAAGCACCGGCUAACUUCGUG
rnacentral:rRNA from 1 species